CCCAUCCCCCACUAAGGUUCAUGCUGAAUUAACCAUGGGUCUCAUUCCUUUUAAGUGAAAUUUGAAGAUGUUUAUUCAACUUGUAACAUCCUAUGCUUGGAGAGUAAUAAGCUUGGUGGCAUUGUUUAAAGAAGAAAGUGGCAAGAGAAUUUAGAAUAUUGAAAGUCAAGUCAGGACAAAGCAGCACAUAACAGGAGAUGGCAGCAGCAAGUAGCAGAAUAGAGGAAACCUGUGUGAGCAGGGAGCCCGAGGCGACGGUGUGAGCAAACAGCCCGCGAUCUCAUAGUAUCUGCAGUGACCUCGAGUACAGGCAAGAUGGAUCCAAUGCAGGGAGAUUGAGUGCUUGUGGAGAUGGCAAGACCAGCAUGACGAAGCACUUAAGAAGGACUGUAAUAUUGAAUGGCAUGGGCAGCAUGAUGGCGCAAUGGUUAGCACUGCUGCCUCCACAGCGUGAGGGACCUAGG